rnacentral:lncRNA from 1 species
AUUUGAUCAAACAUCAUUCUCAGUGUUUUCAUGAAGAUAUAUUUGGAUGAGAUUAACAUUUGAUAGUAGACUGAGUAAAGCAGAUUGCCUUCCUCAGUGUGGGUGGGCCCCAUCCAGAAUUGAAAUCCUCACUACAGGAUUUAUAAUGAAGUCCUCACUAGAACAAAAUUGCUGACACUCUCUUAAAUACAAAAGAAUUUUUUCUGUCUAACCUCCUUGAAACUGGCGGUGGCUUAAGCCUGUAAUCCCAGCACUUUGGGAGGCCGAGGUGGGUGGAUCACGAGGUCAAGAGAUCGAGAUCAUCCUGGUCAACAUCCCCGUCUCUACUAAAAAUACAAAAAAUUAGCUGGGCAUGGUGGUGCAUGCCUGUAAUCCCAGCUACUCAGGAGGCUGAGGCAGGAGAAUUGCCUGAACCCAGGAGGCGGAGGUUGCGGUGAGCCGAGAUGGCGCCAUUGCACUCCAGCCUGGGUAACAAGAGCGAAAAGAAAAGAAAAGAAACUUUGACAUUGGCUUCUUUCCUGACUUUGAACUCAAACUGAAGCACUGGCUGUUCCGCAGCCAUCAGCUUGCCAGCCUUCAGACAGGAAGCACAUCACCAGCUCUCCUGGUUCUCAGGCCUUUCGACUUGGACUGGAACUAAACCAUCAGCAAUUUUGGGUCUCCAGCUUGCCCUGUAGAUCUUGGGGCUUACCUGCCUUCAUAAUUGCAAGAGAAAAAUUGAACAUCAGAGGAAUUCAAGAAAUUGUCCAGAAUCAGGAAGAGGAAGAAACCCACCGGAACUUCCUCUCUCCGUAAUAUGUGGACACAACAAGAAGACAGCAUUCUGCAAGCCAGCAAGAGAGCUCUCACCAGGAACUAAAGUAGCCAGCACCUUGAUUUUGGAAUUCCCACCCUCCAGAACUAUGAAAAAAAAAAUUGCAUGAUAUUUUGUUAUAGUAGCCUGAGUUGACUGAGACAGUCAUUGAUAGAAAAGAAUAAUAUUAUCUAUAUUUACUGUAAUAUUGUUUAUUAUAUAGGAAACGUCCUCAAAUGAAAUACUGAAGGAGCUUGUUUCUUCAGUAUAACCAGAUGAGAGUGUAUUUAUUUUAAGCUAUU